rnacentral:rRNA from 1 species
GAUGAACGCUGACAGAAUGCUUAACACAUGCAAGUCAACUUGAAUUUGGGUUUUUAACUUAGGUUUGGGUGGCGGACGGGUGAGUAACGCGUAAAGAACUUGCCUCACAGCUAGGGACAACAUUUGGAAACGAACGCUAAUACCUAAUAUUAUGAUAAUAGGGCAUCCUAUAAUUAUGAAAGCUAUAAGCGCUGUGAGAGAGCUUUGCGUCCCAUUAGCUAGUUGGAGAGGUAACGGCUCACCAAGGCGAUGAUGGGUAGCCGGCCUGAGGGGGUGAUCGGCCACAAGGGGACUGAGACACGGCCCUUACUCCUACGGGAGGCAGCAGUGGGGAAUAUUGGACAAUGGACCAAGAGUCUGAUCCAGCAAUUCUGUGUGCACGAUGAAGUUUUUCGGAAUGUAAAGUGCUUUCAGUUGGGAAGAAAGAAAUGACGGUACCAACAGAAGAAGUGACGGCUAAAUACGUGCCAGCAGCCGCGGUAAUACGUAUGUCACGAGCGUUAUCCGGAUUUAUUGGGCGUAAAGCGCGUCUAGGUGGUUAUGUAAGUCUGAUGUGAAAAUGCAGGGCUCAACUCUGUAUUGCGUUGGAAACUGUAUAACUAGAGUACUGGAGAGGUAAGCGGAACUACAAGUGUAGAGGUGAAAUUCGUAGAUAUUUGUAGGAAUGCCGAUGGGGAAGCCAGCUUACUGGACAGAUACUGACGCUGAAGCGCGAAAGCGUGGGUAGCAAACAGG